rnacentral:rRNA from 1 species
GACGAACGCUGGCGGCGUGCUUAACACAUGCAAGUCGAACGGAAAGGCCCUGCUUGUGUGGGGUGCUCGAGUGGCGAACGGGUGAGUAACACGUGAGUAACCUGCCCUUGACUGUGGUAUAACUGCAGGAAACUGGGGCUAAUACCGGAUAGGAGCUCCUGCUGCAUGGGGGUGGUUGGAAAGUUUCGUCGGGUGGGGAUGGACUCGCGGCUUAUCAGCUUGUUGGUGGGGUAGUGGCUUACCAAGGCUUUGACGGGUAGCCGGCCUGAGAGGGUGACCGGCCACAUUGGGACUGAGAUCCGGCCCGGACUCCUACGGGAGGCAGCAGUGGGGAAUAUUGCACAAUGGGCGGAAGCCUGAUGCAGCAACGCCGCGUGCGGGAUGACGGCCUUCGGGUUGUAACCCGCUUUCGCAUGUGACGAAGCGUGAGUGACGGUAAUGGGUAAAGAAGCACCGGCUAACUACGUG